rnacentral:rRNA from 1 species
UACACUCCUACGGGAGGCAGCAGUGAGGAAUAUUGGACAAUGGGUGGAAGCCUGAUCCAGCCAUCCCGCGUGCAGGAAGACGGCCCUAUGGGUUGUAAACUGCUUUUAUCUGGGGAUAAACCUACUUACGUGUAAGUAGCUGAAGGUACCAGAAGAAUAAGCACCGGCUAACUCCGUGCCAGCAGCCGCGGUAAUACGGAGGGUGCAAGCGUUAUCCGGAUUUAUUGGGUUUAAAGGGUCCGUAGGCGUACUGAUAAGUCAGUGGUGAAAUCCGACAGCUUAACUGUCGAACUGCCAUUGAUACUGUUAGUCUUGAGUAAGGUUGAAGUGGGUGGGAUAAGUAGUGUAGCGGUGAAAUGCAUAGAUAUUACUUAGAACACCAAUUGCGAAGGCAGGUCACUAAGUCUUAACUGACGCUGAUGGACGAAAGCGUGGGGAGCGAACAGGAUUAGAAACCCCGGUAGUCCCAUG